CACGUAGGGUGCGAGCGUUGUCCGGAAUUAUUGGGCGUAAAGAGCUCGUAGGCGGUGUGUCGCGUCGGCCGUGAAAACCUGCAGCUUAACUGUGGGCUUGCGGUCGAUACGGGCAUCACUGGAGUUCGGCAGGGGAGACUGGAAUUCCUGGUGUAGCGGUGAAAUGCGCAGAUAUCAGGAGGAACACCGAUGGCGAAGGCAGGUCUCGUGGGCAUUAACUGACGCUGAGGAGCGAAAGCAUGGGGAGC
rnacentral:rRNA from 1 species